rnacentral:rRNA from 1 species
UACGGAGGGGGCUAGCGUUGUUCGGAAUUACUGGGCGUAAAGCGCGCGUAGGCGGACCUGCAAGUCGGGGGUGAAAGCUCGAGGCUCAACCUCGGAACUGCCUUCGAUACUGCGGGUCUCGAGUCCGGGAGAGGUGAGUGGAAUUCCUAGUGUAGAGGUGAAAUUCGUAGAUAUUAGGAAGAACACCAGUGGCGAAGGCGGCUCACUGGCCCGGUACUGACGCUGAGGCGCGAAAGCCAGGGGAGCAAACGGG